AUCCCAUGAUGUGGACAUUUUCACAGUAUAUUCUUGAACCUAUUCUAGGCUUCAUCGAAAUUCUCUAAAUCUCCUUGGCGAAAGACAGAAAUGUCGUGCUUGAGCUU
rnacentral:snoRNA from 1 species